CCCUGGCCCGCGUGUGUGCAGGGCGGUGCAGAGGCAGCAUGUGCCUGUAGCGCUCUCUAGAUAUAGGAGCACGUGGCUUGUGUGGUGGUAGUAGUAGUGAUUGCAGUAGGAGGUGGUGCUGGUGGUGGUGUUUUGUAUGAUGGUUCUUGACAGACUGCACGGCUGCUGCUCGGUGGGUGAGAUAAUAGUUGCGCAUCCAAUUAAUAUGAUUCUCAUUUAUGUGCUAUUUAUUAAUCAAUGAUUUGUACUUCUUGUUGGCUAAUUGCUGUUGGCUCACUGCACUACGGUUGGGUUCUAGCCACGUUAUAAGGUGUUGAGAUAUUUGAUGAGUAGUAUAUUCAAAGAUUCUUGGCGAUAAUUGGCUAAGCUAACAUGCAACUGCUAUCUCACCUCAAUCUGAAACCAUUAGAAACUGCAUGCAUAAGGAAUGAUGGUAGAGUGCUUAAUGGUGCACGCGGCAGUAGUUUUAUUUUUCGAUCUUCCCCAAUCUGCUAUCCCUCAACAUUGUUGUAUUCUUUUGUUCCGGUCACACUCAAUUACUGUUUCCUCAUAUGCAUGCAUGAGACAUGACUGAAAUGCACACUUAACCAUUUGUCACACACAUUUUUAAAGAACACAAAUCAAAGGCGUGAAAGUUCUUCUCAAGCCUUAUCAAGGCGGGCUGGUCCAAGGCGGGGCCAUAUCAAGGCGGGCUGGUCCAAGGCGGGGCCAUAUCAAGGCAGGGUGGUUCAAGGUGGGGUGGUUCAAGGCAGGGCCUUAUCAAGGCGGGCUGGUCCAAGGCGGGUCCUUAUCAAGGUAGGGUGGUUCAAGGUGGGGUGGUUCAAGGCGGGGCCUUAUCGAGGUGGGCUGGUCCAAGGCGGGUCCUUAUCAAGGCAGGGUGGGUCAAGGCAGGGUGGGUCAAGGCAGGGUGAUUAAAGGCAGGGUGGGUCAAGGCAGGGUGGUUUAAGGCGGGGCAUUUUCAAGGCGGGGCUGUACAAGGCAGGGCGCGUCAAGGCGGGGGUGUUCAAGGCGGAAGGUUCAAGGCGGAAAGUUCAAGGCAGGUUGGUUCAAGGCGGGGCUGUUGCAUGUUUAUUCCCCCUCGCCUUCCGUAUAAAACGUAGAAGCUCUGAAUUUGAGGGCAUUUUUGUUCCGCCUUUAAGUGAGCAGCAGGCUUAUCCAAAUUGAGAGUUAAAGGAGUGAACUAGCAUGGUGGGGUGGGGGGGGACAUUCUGAUGACGUGUUGUAUGUAUGACCUGCCACUGGGAAAUUUAACUGAAGAACUGAAGUACCCAGAGACUAGUGAACGACUGUCCACAGUGUCUUAGGUCUGCACACCUUUCUGCCUGCAACCGCCCACUGCUUUUCUCCAAGUUCUCCAUCCACGGUUUUCUGAUUGCAGAAGCACGUUGCUCGCACGUUGCUCCGCCAUUGUUGCAUCGCACAUCAACAUAUUAUGCAUGAUGCACAGCGACUUUGCUUGCUUUUUGAAGUGUAGUAUGAAUGUGCAUUGCUAGCACUUGCACCUCAACACUCGGUUCACACUCGAUGUUCACAGUCUGUCCUGUUGUUUAGAGGUAAUGUCGUUAAACGUCACGCCUCUGAUUUUGGGGAAAAAAAAAACAGAACAAUGAAGGACCUUCUUUAUGGCAGUUGCUGGAUCUUUGUUUAAGGGACUGCUCCACAUAAUUAGGUUGGAAACGAGACAAAUCUGUGAGCGCAUGUGAUAUUUGCUCUGGAGUAUGCGUCCGCCCCGCUAUCGUUCAGACAGAUUUCCAGCUGACCUUGCCGAGGGUCGGGCCAAUCAAAACCGUUUAUCCAAUAUGGGGCGGAUUUAAUAUGAUGACUGGUCAAAGUAGUGCCCUAUCGGAGCACUAGAUGGCUUCUGCUGAUGUGCCACACAUUUCGUUGCUCUGAUUGGCCCAGAAGCAUUUUGGUCUCUGCCUGUUGAUAACGCCCCUUGGAAAUUGAAAUUGAACUCAGAGGUUCCAGACUAAUACGCAUUUGCGAAUUGGUCUGGUGAUGUCAGGCUACCACAAAAUAUCAUGUCAUCACAGCACAUUCUGUUACUUGUUGUUUUCACAUCCAAUUGACUCCUUCUUAUGACUGCCUCUCAUUUGCCGACAAAUUGAACUUGAAUAAUAUGUCCCAGAGGAUGCUAGGAGUGUGGCAAUUUAUACAUAUGUAGUGUCUGGAUUUGGCAACAGCUUUCUCUAAACUUAUUUUAAAUUGCAACCAGGAAAAACUUGUUUCAUCCAUUUUGAUUUUUUUUGGUUUAGCAGUCCACUACUAGAACCAUGUGAAUGAGUCCAAUAUCGGUCUCAUAUACCCCCUGCACAGUCUCCUCCUUCUUGGAUAAUGCUGGGUUGACCACACCACCUUGUGUGUUGGAGGAAACAUGAUAAUGGACCAUGUACUCAAUUACCCAGGUGCUAAUCCCUGUUGUUUAGCCCAGUAAUGUUGAUUUAUUAAUGAUUUCUGUGAAAAGUAGCUCUUUCAUUUGACCUGUUAUUUCCUGAACAAGAAGUAACGAGUAGAUGACAAAAGACUAACGACACUGAGAUUGGCACCACAAGAUACACGCGUGCAAAGCCAUCGGCAGCAGAAUUGUCUUUGCUUGUGUUUUUUUCAGCACUGCCUGUUGUCCUGAGUUAUACCCAGAGAAGAAAAACUUUUUUUUUUUUUCGAGAAUUCUC